rnacentral:rRNA from 1 species
AUUGAACGCUGGCGGCAGGCCUAACACAUGCAAGUCGAGCGGAUGAAGGGAGCUUGCUCCUGGAUUCAGCGGCGGACGGGUGAGUAAUGCCUAGGAAUCUGCCUGGUAGUGGGGGAUAACGUCCGGAAACGGGCGCUAAUACCGCAUACGUCCUGAGGGAGAAAGAGGGGGAUCUUCGGACCUCACGCUAUCAGAUGAGCCUAGGUCGGAUUAGCUAGUUGGUGGGGUAAAGGCCUACCAAGGCGACGAUCCGUAACUGGUCUGAGAGGAUGAUCAGUCACACUGGAACUGAGACACGGUCCAGGCUCCUACGGGAGGCAGCAGUGGGGAAUAUUGGACAAUGGGCGAAAGCCUGAUCCAGCCAUGCCGCGUGUGUGAAGAAGGUCUUCGGAUUGUAAAGCACUUUAAGUUGGGAGGAAGGGCAGUAAGUUAAUACCUUGCUGUUUUGACGUUACCAACAGAAUAAGCACCGGCUAACUUCGUG